UUAAGGGUCACGAGUAUUUCGGCCUUAGAGAGCUGAUACGCGGGACAUCCCGUCGAACGUCCGUUGACGUGACAUUGGGCAACACAACCACUGAAGCGUGAUUCAUGAUGAGUCGAUGGCCGGCAUUUUCCUUUGGUCACUUCCUCAUUGUUAGGUUAUGUACAACAUUCUCAUGCUCACGUAUACUAUACCAGGUGCCUAAUAACACAUUUUUGGGAUUCACGUUUAACAACUCGAAUGUACGUUUCCCCGUACGUUCACAUAACAUUAGGUAUUAACCAAUGCCCAGAGUAACUGAUACAAGUUCGAUUUAUCUCAAUGUUUAUAUUUAUCACUAGAAUAUUAAAUGACGCAAUCCCUCAGAUGCGCAAUUCACAGAAAUUAACACAAGUUUACAUACUUCAUCACGAUUUCGAUAUGCACCAUUUAGGGAAUUGUAAAGUCCCGGUCUCCGUUUAUCUUAGUGUAUAAAAACUUAGUUCAGUAGUCAUAAUACUUCAUAAUUCAUUGUCACGUACCUUUGAGUACUUGUAAAUACUAGUUGGAAGUAAUUAGAAUCAUGAAGUUCACUAAAGUACUUGUAAUUUUUAUUGUUGUGAUUGCAUUACUGGUGCCAUCUGAGGCAGCCCCAGGAAAAAUACCAGUUGGCGCUAUCAAAAAAGCGGGGAGAGCAAUUGGCAAAGGACUCCGGGCCAUCAACAUAGCGAGCACGGCGCAUGAUGUCUACACAUUCUUCAAGCCAAAAAAGAGGCAUUAAAUAUAUAUAUUUUUUAAAUCUACCAAAGAGUUACUUAAGGUUAAUUUAAAAGUAAAUGUUUUACUCCAUAACAUUUUGAUAAUGUCUAGUCUAAGUCUCGUCAUGUCAAAUAUCUAUAAUACAUGUAUUGUACAUUA